rnacentral:tRNA from 1 species
GGGGGCGUAGCCCAACGGCAGAGGCAAGGGACUUAAAAUCCCUAAAGUGAGGGUUCGAAUCCCUCCGCCCCUA